UGGGUGGAAAAGUAGGAUUUUAAUUUUUUAAAUUUACACAGUGGGUGAGAAAAUAGGACAUGUGGGUGGAAAUAGCAGCACUCUAUAUGUAUAACAAAUGUUAUAUAUAUACAGAGUGAGCAAAUUGUUGACACAAAGACGUUUCUAGUUGUGUUGGUUUGUAGGGCCUCAACUUCUAUUUAGGACUCGACUUCAAAACCUGCUUGUGUUAAAGGCUUGUCCGAUGUCAACACCAACAUUCAAUAUCCC
rnacentral:lncRNA from 1 species